ACUUCAAAUAAUUUCAAUAUAUAUAUUUAAAGUACUCCAAAACAUUUCAUACUUAUAAUUAGUUAACCUUCAAACUUAAAUACAACCCAACGGAAUAUGUACCAUAGUCAUCUACUAUAAUACAACUUAAAAUCUCCAAAAGGAAACAAUUUAGUACUAUUCAUGAGCACUCUCGGUCUUGAACCCUGUUAAGGAAAACAAAAACGUGGAAUCAGCUAAACAGCCCAGUGAGAUUCCAAGACACUCUAGCAGUUCUACUAAAUCAAGUAAUUUAAGCAUAAUACAUGUAUGAUUCAAGGUUGCACAUUGGCACAUUAAUAUAAAACAGUUAUCAUUAUACAGAAAUAAACACACAUUGAAGGAUACUGUGUUCCAGUGAAACUAUUUCGAUCAACUUCACCUUAUAACUUUAGAUCCCCUCGAUUUGUCUGGCUAUCACCUUAUCCCUCCAGUGGUAAUACUUGAGUAUACCGAAACGGUAGCUCAGGGUUCCAACCUACCCGACCGAGUCCAGUCCUGACUCGAGCAAGUUAGUAACCAAGGGCAAGAUCCAGUUCAGCUUAGAGCUUACAACAUGCGUAAGUAAUCAAGUAAAUCAGUAAAUCGAUUGAACGAUAGAAAUUUGUCAUUUUAGUAGGUCGAGUGAGAUAAAGUACCCACUUGCCUUAAAACAAUGGCAAUUUUAUAAGAGCAAUUAUAGGUAAUACUUAACACUUGAACACGUAAGAAAUAUAUCGUAAUUUCAUAUGAACACGAAAUUUCCGGUAAUCAAAUAAUCAAGUAAAUCGGUAAAUAGUGGUUCGGUUGAAUGGUAAAUCGGUAAAUCGGUUGGACGAUAGAAAUUUGUCAUUUUAGUAGAUCGAGUAAGAUAAAGUACACACUCGCCUUAAAACAAUGGAAAAGUUCAUAGGAGCAAUUAUUGGUAGCACUUAAUAGUUAAACACAUAAUGACCAUGGAGUAAACAUGUCGUAAAACUAUUCAAGUCACGUACUCCUAUAUGGAACACUCACCAAUUCAUAACAAGUGAGUAAGUGCUCAAAUAAGUGUUUAGGCGUCCGCUUCGAGUUCCUCUUGAAGGUCCCCUUGAGCGCCAGAGCAAAUAAUAAUUAACUUCACUCACAAUCAUGCAUUUACCAAGAAAGGAUGCACACUCAUUUAGACUAAAUCAAAAUCUUAAAAGAGAGCUUUAAUUCUCUCAACUCGAGGUUCAAGAGUGAAGUGUCAAAAUCUGAAGAGAGACUAGCAUCUUCCAUGAAAUCGAGUUCAAAAUGUUCAAAUGAUAUCGAGAAAAGAAGUCAAGUUCCCGAAAUUGCAUUUUCUAAGUAAUCGGCAAAUUUUAGCUUUGCACGACAAUCUUUGGAAAAUUGAAUAUGGAGUUUUACAUGUCAAAAAAUGGAAAACUUUACACCGUUGGAAUCUUUGUUCGAAAUACUAAAAGUUCCUAGAAGACAUUUUUCAAAGAUUAUAAAUGGAAGACAUUCAAAUUUCAGCCCAAAGUGGCUGACUUGAACCUAUAAGACAGUUUCAGUCUUAGUUUUCGGCAAAAUUUGGAAAAUCGGUAAAAUUCACAGAAAGUGAACUAGCCUUCAAAAUUUGUAACACAAUAAGAAGUCCAAACAAGGUUUCAAACAGGACAAACAGAACUAAAUUCAGAGUUUUGAGCAUUGAUAUAUAAUAGUUUGAAGCUGGCUGGAAUUUGGGCACAAAUCAGAAAUUUUCCAGAUUUGAAAAGCAAACUUUGUAGCAUCAUUUGGAUAUCGAAAGGUUCUUGAAAUAACACCAAAUUUUGUACACUUAAAUCUCUAUAUGUGGAUUACCCCUGUAUGAAAUUUCAUGCAAAAAUUUAUGUGGGAAGGUAGUUAACAAAAUGACUGAAGUUUGUAAAAUGUUUCGAAGCAAAUCUGUCUUCUUGCUUUCCUUUCUUUUCAAAACAUUUUGCACAAUGAAAUCAGUCCCAAUUAAAUCCAUUUUUGAAAACAAGGUCCUAAAAACAUCUAUUAUACAUUUGGUAGGUGAUUGACACCAGAAUUUUCGGAACAACAUGUCCCAAAUCAAAUUAGACCAGUCGGCUAGCAAGAAAGAAGAAUUUUCCAGAUUUCCAGCUUUACUGCAGUUUGAAAUUUGAACCAUAUCUCACUCAAUACAACUUGAAAUUGUUAAUGGUUGGUGGCGUUGGAAACUAGAUUCAAAAGGCUACAUUUCAUCAGAAGAAAUUAUUUUGAAAAUCAGUUCAUAGCUAGCUCGAAUUCAAGCGACAAGCCACAGCUUAUCACUGUCACUCGCACAGCACAGCAGAACAGAACAAGUAACUUUGGUGAACUACUACGGUUCACUCAAUUCAAACUAGAUGGUGAAUUUUAUACUGUUGGAAAGCUACAAACGUCUAAUUUCAAAUUCACAAACGGCACAUGAUUUUGAUGUCUGUACAGAGAGAUAUGUUCAAUUAAAGAGACACCGUUCAUUAGCCCAGAACACGUUUUCCAAUUUCUAUAAAUUUCGAAAAUUCAACUUUUGCUCAAUCAAUUUAAAUGAUUUUUGGUAGAAACUUUCUACACAAUAUAUACACAUCAGUUUCAUAGUCAUUUGAGCCCCCAAAAUUCGAAAUACAGGUACGGCCAAAACAGGACAAAUUUGUCUAGCAUUCCUACGAAAUUUUUCCUUCAUCUUUCCAUCAAUUUCUAAGCUUAAUACUCAUCACAGCCACAAUAACACGUAUAUUAUCAUCAUAUCAGCACAUAUACCCAAGGUGGGAAUUCAUAGAACCCACUUCAAUCUUUUCAAUCCAAAUAACAAUAACAAUAUGGAAGCUACAAGCUUCAUAGUCAAAACCGAAACCCAUUAAAGCCAAGAAAAUGGAAAGAUUUGAAGUGGAUGAAGGCUACCUCUUAGCUCUUGAAGAAACCAGAAAUUUCACCAUUAAAACUCCCAAGAAAACUGCCAAGAUGAAGCUUUCCUCUAGGCCAAGGCUAAUCUCCAAGUGAUUUUGAGGUUGGAUGCAAAGUUGGAAGUGUUUUGGAGCAAGAAUGAGCAAAAAUGGAGUGGAGAGCUUUCUUCCUUCUUCCCUUGAAGUUGCUGGCCGAAAAUGAGGGAGUGAGGAGAGAGAGAUGAGGGUUUGUUUGGGUGAUGAAACUUGGAGAGAAAG
rnacentral:lncRNA from 1 species